AAAGCCACACAAUACACAAUAUGGCUCAUGUGAACAUAGAAAUAUUUCAAGUGACUGUCACAUCUCACACCUUUUUAUGCUUCCACAAGAUAUCUAACUAUAUCAACUAAUACCUACAUUACUGGACAAGCAAAAGCCAACAAAACAUUUGCUACAAUGACAAAAGUAAAGACUAAUACGGUAAACAUGUGAAUGGUUAAGGAACGAGCAUACCAAGCACAUGGUAAUGCGUAUUACAAAGUGUCCUCAUUUUCUUUGAUCACAGACAAGCAACAACUCAAGGAAAUACUAACUAAAAUAACCCCAAGUCAGCAUUAUUGACCCAUACACAGGAUGGAAGUAACUUGUAAAGCAUAAAGGUAUGACACAUUGUUACUGCGGGCGACAGCACACAAAAGAAAUCAAAGAUAUACUAAUGUUGCAAAUUAAUAUAUUGCUAUCAACUUGUGUUGAAAACACUGUUUGUUCCAUGGUAAAACAAAAAGAUGGCAACAAUUAAGCAUCUCGUAUAUUUUUGCUCACUUCACAAAUGUUCAAGAACAACGUGCGUGCCACCAGGCGCAUCGGGGUAGACAAAACAAAGUUGCUUCCCAUAACAUUUGUUAAAAAGCUUGAAAAUAACAACAACAAAAGAAAAAGAAACAUCAUGCCCAACAACAUUCAAUUGAAGAACAUACCCUUCAAAAAGGAAAUUAUAUCCUCAAAGUUACACCCUUCCAUCUGCUGGCUAAGCAUGUGCAAAAAGAACUGACGUGAAAUAAAUGGCACACAUUUAUGCCACUCUCAAUCACCGCUGAAAAUGUCAAGACAACAAAAACCGAACAAGAAACGAACAACUACGAUUAUGACAGUUCACAAAUGUGAUUGGUUGUUCACAUACAAGAUUGAAUGAUAGAAGUCAGUGAAGGACAGGACAUAGGAAAAGGAAGUAAAGAUGAUAUUGAAUGAAGAAUCAUAUAUUUCCUGAGAAUACAAAUCUAAGCAUUCAACAGUGAAAGUUCUGGAAUGGGACGACAAAACUCUGUUUAUUUGUCACAAAAAAAAUAAUUUACAUAAAUGACCUCUUGCCCUCUUGAAUAAUUUCACGGUAGGGUGCUUGUGAACACGAGAGGUGUAAUAUGAAGCUUUAACUAGACACAAAUAAUACUACACUUACUAGUAGCUAAUAAUACUUUAUUUAACCUAUUAUACUAACACAUAUACUUUAAGGCCAAUGUUUUUAAAAUAUGAUUUCAAAGAAGUAAACGGAAAUUUCAUCAAAA